UACAGGUUGCAUUUUAGAGCUCUGUGUUGGUUGGAUCGUGGACAAAUAGGUUUCACCAUUUUCUCAAAGCAAUGCCUGACAACAGCAUGGAUUCUGUGACCUGCAUCACUGGAGCUACCUGAGGUAAAAAAGGAUAAUUUGUAUCAAACCAGCUUGCUGUCUUGUUUCUCUUGCCUGUGUUUCUCACUCCUGCACGCUCCCCUGUUUUUAAUGUCUUACUGAGUAGCUUGUCUCAAAACCAUCUGAUGCUUCUUGUUCCAGUGGCAAUUUCCAGUAUGAGAAGGCUCAGCCUGUGCAACCCCACCUAAAAGCAACAUUCAGACCCAAUACUGCUCUCACAUAAGCUUGAGGGGUGAAAGAAGAGGUGUAUACCUCACAUACAGAGUGCUGCCUGAGAAAAUUAUCAGGGCAUUCUUAUAUGAGGGCUGGUCCAGACUGUAACAGAAACGCUAAGCCAUGGCCUGGAACAGUGAUUGAACACCUGGUGGAAGGCAGGGCCAACCCAGGGGGGCUCAGGUGCAUGCAGUGCACCUGAGUGACUGGAAAGGAUGAAGUCAGGAUCCACCCCUCCCUAGACCUCAUUUAAGGGUUGGCAGUGGAUGCAAAGGUAUUUUUCUGGAGAUCCCUGCCUGGUGGAGGCCUUCUGAAGAUUUCCUGUGUAGGCCUGUCCCCAGGGACUGACAACCUGGUGUAGACAACUCAUAAAUAAAACGAGUGAGACAUGAGCAAGAAAAAGCAUACCAUACUUCUGGGAAUCACUCCAGGAAAAUAAAUGUGCAAGAUGGCACAUCACCCUACACAAAGCUGGCAAAGGCUUUCCCAUGUCUCAAAUGACCAAAACACUUCGACGCUUCCUGAACUGCUCUCCCAGUGAAGGACAGGAUAAGGCAGGACAGGAGAGGAUGCAGCAGAGGGCCUACUGUGUUCUGUACUUUGUUCUUGAAAUGACCAGAGUAACCUCCCUCCCUCAAAGCACCUACUGUGAAUGUCUGCAGUCCAUGACAGGGUUCCAAGGCCUGGAAAGAUACCUGAGUCAGCAGAGCAUGCCCACCUGGAGUCUAUAACAUCAGCAGGCACAUCAGCUUAAUGCUCAAAAGAAUAGUAGGAAUGCAUUUCUCCAGCCAUGAGAAAGUGCAUUACAUCUAUGCAGUUUGCCCCUACGUUCUCCAAACAGCCAUGUAAAACCAGCCCGUAUUUCCCUCUUACGGUGGGGUGAAUAUAAUUGUCUCUGAAAAAAUUCUGCAUCUGAAAGAAGAUGUUAAUUUGCAGGAAUGAUUAAUAGUUCUGCUGACUGCUAAAAAUCCAGUUAGAGCAGUUAGGGUACGAUGGCUUUACAGGAGCGGGAUAAAGUUUAUUUGAUUUUCUGUAACUGAGUGUCCUCAGCUGAACCUACCAACCCUUUGCUGUGCAAGGAUUGUAACUCCCACUGCAGUUGGCUCAGCCUCCAUUUCUAUUUUUAGUGCAGAUCUUGCUCCUUUUUUAGACCUGAUUGCACAGCCAGAACUGCGUUCUCAGCAGCUCAGUGAAAAGCCUGCCUGUUCCAUUUUAUAACUUUUCCAGACAAAAAGAUGGGAAGCCUGCAGCUUUCCAAACACUCUUAUUUUUAAGAGCUUGCAAUACGAUACAGCCCAAAACCCAAGGGCUGAAUGAAUCCCUGCUGAAAUACUAUUGAAUUUUCUGGGGUUUUAUUCAGCAUUAAUUUGGCUGCUAAUAAGAUACUUGGGAUAUUAAAACAUUAAAAAAAACAAACAACCUCCCCCCCCCCACACACAAACAACAACAAAAAGCAAAAAACAAAAAACCCUUCUUCACUGUAAGUACUUAAAAAGAUAUUUAUCAAAAAGGUAAUAAUGUACAUCUGGAUCAAAUCCUCCAGACAACAUAUCUUCUUUAGAUUCAUAGUUUAUAAAUCCAAUUGAUGGAAGCAACUACUAGCCAAGAAAGAAAGAAACAAGGAAAAAUGGAAAACACUGAGUUUGAGGAUUCUCUAAGCAGGAACAACCACACAGAAGCAAUUUUCUGGCACUCAAUUAAAACCACUCAAUUAACAUUUUUGAGCAAAGUUUCCCACUGCAGCUAGAACAGACGGAGUUGCUGUAGUUCUGUCUGUGUUAGCAACAGUGCUUCACCUCUGCUUAAAGUGUUUGCUUCUGCAAUAUCUUCUUAGUGAUAUAUACUUAGGAAGUUAUAUUUCAAAGUGUUGUAUACAUUAAAAAAAAACAAGAUUAAGAUGAUUACAGCCGUUGUUAGGCUGUAAACACACAACCUACAUUGCUAAUACAAGUAAAACACAUCCUUAUAUACAUGUACUGAAAUAUGUUGCCAAUAGCGUGAUAACAGUUUGCAUCUUACUACACACCUAAAUCAAGCAUACCUGCAAAUAUCAUUUUAUUCUUAACCCAAAGUAUAAUAAAGUAUAAUAAAAAUAUCCUCAUAUGCACAGAUCUCUUCUUAGAAGAAAUCUUAAACCCUUCCCUCCUGCAACAAAUCUCUAAGGAAUUGUUAUGCUACUCAGGCAGUAAUCAGUGAAUUCAGCCAUCUUUAUUGGACACGUAAUGACAUCCAACACCCCUCUUGCAAUGGGGGAGACUGACUGCAGAUGGAGAUUUCCCUCAGCUUCCCCUGCAUUCAGGCAGUUCACUAGUUCUUUUAUGUCCCACUGAGAACACAAAGGCAGAUUCAAAAGAAAAUUAACUGGAAGAGUAAAGGAAUUAAAAUCAGUGAAGGAAUUGAUAGACUAACAUAUUCUUAUUGUAAAUUCAGGAAUUUAAUUAGCCCCGGUCAAACACUGAACAAAUCAAAGCCAAUAACAAACGGAAAAGAUCAUUAAAAGUAGAUAUUCAGCAGAUCUGAAUUUACAUAUUUUGUGUGCCUCAAACACCCAAUUCAUUCUGUGAAAACGGAGGGUGUCCCAAACAUAUGAAGUCAGGUUCAUUAUCUCGAUUUAAAUAACACAAAGCUCGAAAGAGAGAAGCUGAGUGCCACAGGAAGUAAGUACUCAAGAUCACUAUCUCAAAGGCACAAGGUUAAAAACUGAAAGGACUGUAAGUUAUCAACCGAAAAUAAAAAAUACCCAAGUACUUGAAAGCCUGUUUAUCCUAGCUGGCAUUAGGAAUAUUGUACCCUUGUACCCUAAAUAGAGACCGUGGAAAUCUGCCUAAUGAGGGUAUGCACUGUCUUGGCUGUGGUUUUCAGCACUACAUGCAGAGCUGAAACUCUAACUAAUUUAGGAGAAAAAAAAAAAGGGGAAAAAAUAUACUGUCACUGCUAAAUGUCAAAGCUAAAACCAGGCCAAUGGAGUCACAACUGUAGUGCAAAAUGUAUCAAUUUUCCUCCAAUUUAUAUUCUGGACAUCGUUUUUAAUAAUAAAAAUGGCUGCUGAAUCCACUUGGAAGUAAAUCUUGUCAAAGACUGUAUUGCUUUGUUUGUAAUUCAACGCUAUGAAGUGGACCCUAACAAAUGAUUUGUGUCUGAUGAGCAACUAUUUCUGUAUUUAGUUUGGAAUGACCACGUCUGUGUUUUGAGUUAGGAAAUGUGCACAACAUUAAAAUGAAAUUAUUCAAGUGCCAUUUUACCUCAAAAUGAAGUAGGUCACUUUGAAGUCAGCUUUGAUGGCCAGUUCUGUUGCUCCUUUUGUUGUUGUUGUUGUUGUUUUUUGUUGGUGUUUUAAGAGCAUCAGCCUGUUCCCUCAGCACCACUUAAUCACUGGUAACUUUCAUGGAGAGCAAACAAAAGGCUCUUUUAUUUAUCCAUUAUGUUACUAAGAGGUGAGAACAGCUUGAUGCAAAUGAAAAUCAUUAAAGCAUUCUGUGCUACCAUUAACUGUCUGAAUAUCUGCCUAUGCAAAUACAGCACACAACCCAGUGAAACUGCAGCCUCAUGACCUACCGCAUUGAAAAUCUAUGCCUUAUGACUCUUUUAACCCAACAGUUAAAAUACUCCGUGUGAUGUGCCUCUGUAAGCACUUAGUUUGGAUGAGCAUGGAAACGGAGUGUAAGCCAUUACACAGAAACAUUCUCCAUUUCAGAAACCCCUUCACCGUGACUGGCCAAGGGUAACAUCAGUGCUAUCUGAUUCAUUACAGUGCUGCAGUAUGGAGCUAAAAUGUGAUUGCCCAGAUGUGAACCUGCAUGCAAUUACACCCAGAAUUUCACUUAAGUAAGCAGUCCCAUUUAAGACAACAUGAACAUAUCAUAAUGCAAAACCACGAACGGUCUGCAGGAUUAGAGGCCUAAUUAGAUAUAAAAUCUACUGACUUCCUUCUUUAGAACUCUGUCCUUUGCAUAGCCACUUAUCCCCAUGCAACUGAGCACAGAACAGCGCUCUCACUAAGUAGCACCCUACCCAACAAUAAAGAUGAGUAAGUGUAUGAAGCUGGAGAGCUCAGCUGAAGUAGUACCUAGCAACAGGAGUGCACAAGAACCUUCGUAUUCCUAAGAAUUCUAACCAAAGACAUACAUAUGGCAGUUUAGAAAGCACCUUAGAGGAGGCCACUUUUUGCUGCUCUCCUUGGUAAAAUUUAGGCUAGCCAUGAGGCAACAAUUUACUUCAGAUGUCUGAGAGCUUUUCUAGACUAAGUUUUGGCAGAAGUAAGGGAUAUCUCACCCUCCUUUGGGACACAUACCUUUGUUACCUACUCUUACACCACAGAACAGAGGUUAGGACAAUGUGUUAUUCAACAGCAGCUGGAAAGGAAAUGGUUGAUUGGAUUCUGUGCCUUUACUGCUUGAAGGACUUAAAUCAGCCUCUCCUGUUUGGUAGGAGAGUACUCCCAUCAGCAGAGGCCUGUGUACAAAGCAUCUCUGACAUCCAACUUGAGAUUUUGACAAUCUGUGCUGGGGAAUGGAAGACACUCAGGCCAGAAAGAAUAAGGAUAUUUUAGUCUCCUAGGCUGCUUACGUAUUUUCAUUAAGCAGUAAUUAUACAGCUUGAAUGCACAGUACUGAGUGCAGGGACUAAGGACUCCUAGGCAAGUGCUCUUAUUACUUAUUUAUUUGGAUAUCAUGAAAUUAAUGUAUUUGAGGCACUUAGAAAAGAAAGAAAUUCAGUGGGACUGAAGACCCCCCUAGAAGUCUUCUUCUGAGCUUGGCACAGUGGAACACUUAAAAUACUUUAUUUGAGUCACUGCUGCUUCACCUGUCCUGUUUAAUAGAGUGGUACCAUGGAAUAAACUGAACAUCAGACUGCUCAUCACCCGCACUGCCAAGCUGGUAGCGUGCUGCAUGGCAGCUUUGGCCCAUAACAACCAUCUGGAGUGAUGCUCCCAAGCAGCUCAGGGGACAGCACUUGGACACAGCAAGACUCAGCCAACUCUCCGGCCUUCAUUACUUCAUAAUAUUGCAUAAAUGUAAUGUAUGGUAAGGAACAUUAUGAAGAACCCAAUAAGAAAAUUGUAAAUUCUUCUGUCACAGUAUAAUUAAUGCCAAGUAAUUUGGAUUUUUAUUUUACCUCUAAAGUAACAACGUUCCCAUUUUAUUGAUGACUGAAUUAAAAUUAGCUAGAAAUACUUUGUUUUUAUUAAGACAUAGAUAAAAGAUAAAGCUACUCUGAAGGAGCUUGAAAAAUAUAAACACUACUAAUUUCUUUUGUUUAAAAUAACCAAUUUUUGCAUUACUGCAAGCAAAAAAGCAAUUUUGUACCUGCUAGGUGAAGAAGAAAUUAGGGAACUGACUAGUGAUCUAAUGCUGGAGCAAUGGAGACAAACUCAGGUUACUGGCAGUGAAAUCUUCAUCACAAAACUGGUUUACAAAGUUGCAGCAAGAACAUGCAGUCUUUCAACAGUUGUUUGGGUUUUAUUUUGCCAACAAGAAGUAAAUGAAGGUGGAGGUUUUGGGGUAAGAAAUCCAAUUUCCUUCUCUAAACAAGCAGAUUAAAAAAAAAACAAAACAAAACAACACAACAUCCUUAUUCACUGCAGUAGAAAAGUACAGUCUGUUUUCUAAUAGAUAGUAACCAUAACUGCUAUCUUCACACAAUGAAGAAAAACCAUCAAGAGCUGCAAGAAAGAUAUUAUCUAACCAAAGAUGUAUGCACUUUUCUCAGAGCACAAGAGGUCUGGGCACUGGCAGUUCUCCUUCACCUAAUGCCUUAUUUCAGAAUGAUACAGUUUUGCAGACUAGACCUCGAUUACAUUUGAUUUACUGACUGAUUCUCUUCUGCUUCCUUUUAAAGAUAAAGAAUGUGUUUAAAGCAGAGCGUGAGAAUGCGAUCACUUCUUGGAAGGCUGUUCCCUCUCUGAACAAUCUGAGACAUUUUCACAGUUAUUUUUACAGUAUAACCAUUUCCUAUUUUCCCCGUGUUAACAGUUUCAAUCUACGAUCACUUUCUUUUGCAAAAAGCACAGUCCUAGUGAGAACACAUCACUUAAGUAUUAGAAUGAUACAAAAGCCUAUAUUCUGUCCUGAGAAAAACAGCUAUUCAAAAUACUAUCUCCACAAAAUAUCUUUUAAAGUAGCAUACAAAGAGGAAGAAAAGGUGCUGUGGGCAGGGAGACUGAAGAAGACAUUGUGUUUAUAUUUUAUGGAUUUGGGGGCUCGUGUUGUUUGAUAUUAUUAGCCAAGCCAUCAAGUUACCACUUUUGAAAGAAAAUAGCUAUCACUGAAUUUCUAACUAACGCAGCUGCAAGACUACUCAAGAGACACCACAUUACAGCAGAAUCAAGUCGCAGCCAUUUAACUGCACAGCUUCCAGAGUAAAAGUACCUGAUUUCUGUACCUGACUAGAAAUUCAUAUCCACCACACGAGAUUUUCCCCCUAGAAACUGGAAACAGAAUUAUGGUGUCUCUCCUUCCUAACUACCACUUACAUAUCACAUCAGAAUAACAGGUAACACUUUAUAAAUUUGUGUUCUACCUAACUUUGUAUCUCCAACUGUAUCUAUCUCAUGCUUUAAGAUAUACAAUGAUCAAUAUACUGGCAAGAAAAUAUAUUUUAUUUGCAAGUCUCCAAAAUUGUUGAGGUAGAUCUGUGUGCUGAUUAGGCUUGUACUUACAGUGUCAGCCUUUAUUAGACAUUACUGUAAUUGGUGGUCCACAUUAAUAAUUAUAUUUUUAUACAUCAAGCACACACAGUAGUAUUUAUAUAGGGAAUACAUAUUUAGGAAGACCAUAUUCUGCAUGAACUUCAGCUCCAGUAAUAUCUUUCUGGGAUCACCUUUUGUAGCAGAAAUGCUAAGUCAUGGCAUGAAACAGUGAGCACCUGGUGGAAGGCAGGGCCAACCCAGGGGAGCUCAGGUGUAUGCAGUGCACCUGAGUGACUGCAAGGGGUGGAGCCAGGAUCCACCCCUUCCCAGACCUCAUUUAAGGGUUGGCAGUGAAGAUGAGGGCAGCUUGCUGGAGAGCUCUGCAUCCCUGAUGUCUUCUGAAGGUAAGCAGCUGCUUUCCUCUAUUUCUGUGCCCAUGGCUGUUGCAGUUGAGCAAACUCCCUUGCUGCAGCCUAGGACCACACUACUUUGCUGUUGUUGCUAUGCUUUUCAUUCUGUUACACCUUUACACCACUCUGUUUGCAUUGCCUUUUUCCCAGAUGUGCCACCUGCCUACCAGUGUCUAAAAAUACUUACAGUAUUAUUAAUUAGCAGCUAGUGUUUGCAUCUUCAAAUGGAAAUGAGCUUUGA